CUGAAAGUAACCAUCGGAUAGAGGAAAUGGAACCCAAGGCAACCAAGAAGAACUUUGAGUCAUAGGCUUCAACAAGGAAGGGACCAUCUUCGACCCACAUGCACCAAGGCUAAGGUGCUGUCGCAGCAUCAGUUUCGGCAAAGGAUCACCAAGUCUCCAACAGCAUGCAGAGGGCAUCCUUCUGAAACUGGGACAUGACGGCGUCGGCAUAGGUCGAUGCAUGUUGAGUAUGGGAUAUGCUGGUGGUGGCCGAGGGUAAGCACUCAGCACCUUGGCCCGAAAUGGAAUCCAGAGUCUUCUUCAGAUGAUGUUUGUCUAGAGCAUGUUUAUCGGGAGGCAAAUGAUGUAGCCGAUCCAUUGUCUAAUAAUGCGAAAACAAGGGAGCUUGGAUACCAUUUCUUCAAUGAACCUCCAGAAAAAAGCUAAGUCUGAUUUACAUGGAUAAUUAGGCAGUAGCCAUUGUUGUUUUCCUCUAUUAUGUAUAUAAAAAAAAUUAUAUACCUAAAUACAAAAUUCUUUUAUUGAUAUUGUUUACAUAA